rnacentral:lncRNA from 1 species
GCAAAGACCUCUUUGAGUCAAAAUAAGUUAACGUCCUGAUUACAGUUACUUAGUGCGCUAGCAGGUAAAAAUUCAAACUCUGUGUGUUGGUCUAGUGAAAAGCAGGUAUGUGUUAAUAUUUUGCUGACAUAAUCAUGUAAUAUUUGCUACUGGACAUAACUCAACAUCAAUCAAUUAUUCAAACCGAAAAAUAUUAUUUAAAUGCA